rnacentral:rRNA from 1 species
CCUACGGGAGGCUGCAGUGGGGAAUAUUGGACAAUGGGGGGAACCCUGAUCCAGCCAUGCCGCGUGUGUGAAGAAGGCCCUCGGGUUGUAAAGCACUUUCAGUGAGGAAGAACGCCUGGUGGUUAAUACCCAUCAGGAAAGACAUCACUCACAGAAGAAGCACCGGCUAACUCCGUGCCAGCAGCCGCGGUAAUACGGAGGGUGCGAGCGUUAUUCGGAAUUACUGGGCGUAAAGCGCGCGUAGGUGGCUUGAUAAGCCGGUUGUGAAAGCCCCGGGCUCAACCUGGGAACGGCAUCCGGAACUGUCAAGCUAGAGUGCAGGAGAGGAAGGUAGAAUUCCCGGUGUAGCGGUGAAAUGCGUAGAGAUCGGGAGGAAUACCAGUGGCGAAGGCGGCCUUCUGGACUGACACUGACACUGAGGUGCGAAAGCGUGGGUAGCAAACAGGAUUAGAUACCCCUGUAGUC